rnacentral:misc_RNA from 1 species
CCUAUUGCUUAUGCCAACUCGUUCUUCCCCUUCCUCAGUGAGGCUGAGCUGUUCAUUGGGUUCCAGUUCAUCAGCCUCAUCCUCAUGAUCUGACCUACUACAUCUUUCAUUGGGUUCUUCUUCUUUCUCGACAAAGAAUGUGCCAUUUGACUGGAUUCAUCAAUCUCAUUAUAACUAUGCAUGCUGCUUUCUUUGUCCUCAUCAUGGAUACAAAACUCAUUAAUAUAGGACACAAACACUUGCUCUGUCGAUUGAAUUCUUGCCCAUUCCCAAUAGAAAAACCCUGCUAUGCUUUGAUGCUGGAUCCACUCUGGGAUUUUAUUUCCAGGAAGCACGAUAGUGAACUGCUUUGCCCAAAAUCUGUGGCUGCCAUAAAAUUUCUAGCACCAUAUAUUUAAUUCAAGAUUAGAGAUGGUGAGAUAGUAUAUAUUUACCUGGCGUUGCUGGAGUU